GCAUAAAAAAAGCCACGGUUCUCACCGUGGCAAAAUCCAACAUAGCUAAAUUAAAAAUAAUCAGGAGGGCUGCCCGCCG
rfam:Salmonella enterica subsp. enterica serovar Typhimurium str. LT2, complete genome.